AGUGAACGCUGGCGGUAGGCCUAACACAUGCAAGUCGAACGGCAGCACAGUAAGAGCUUGCUCUUACGGGUGGCGAGUGGCGGACGGGUGAGGAAUACAUCGGAAUCUACUUUUUCGUGGGGGAUAACGUAGGGAAACUUACGCUAAUACCGCAUACGACCUACGGGUGAAAGCAGGGGAUCUUCGGACCUUGCGCGAUUGAAUGAGCCGAUGUCGGAUUAGCUAGUUGGCGGGGUAAAGGCCCACCAAGGCGACGAUCCGUAGCUGGUCUGAGAGGAUGAUCCGCCACACUGGAACUGAGACACGGUCCAGACUCCUACGGGAGGGAGCAGUGGGGAAUAUUGGACAAUGGGGGGAAGCCUGAUCCAGCCAUACCGCGUGGGUUAAGAAGGCCUUCGGGUUGUAAAGCCCUUUUGUUGGGAAAGAAAAGCAGCAGGUUAAUACCCCGCUGUUCUGACGGUACCCAAAGAAUAAGCACCGGCUAACUUCGUG
rnacentral:rRNA from 1 species